rnacentral:rRNA from 1 species
CCUAGUGACAAUAGCGGAGAGGAAACACCCGUUCCCAUUCCGAACACGGAAGUUAAGCUCUCCAGCGCCGAUG